rnacentral:rRNA from 1 species
UCCUACGGGAGGCAGCAGUGGGGAAUAUUGCACAAUGGGGGAAACCCUGAUGCAGCCAUGCCGCGUGUGUGAAGAAGGCCUUCGGGUUGUAAAGCACUUUCAGUUGUGAGGAAAAGUUAGUAGUUAAUACCUGCUAGCCGUGACGUUAACAACAGAAGAAGCACCGGCUAACUCCGUGCCAGCAGCCGCGGUAAUACGGAGGGUGCGAGCGUUAAUCGGAAUUACUGGGCGUAAAGCGCACGCAGGCGGUUUGUUAAGCUAGAUGUGAAAGCCCCGGGCUCAACCUGGGAUGGUCAUUUAGAACUGGCAGACUAGAGUCUUGGAGAGGGGAGUGGAAUUCCAGGUGUAGCGGUGAAAUGCGUAGAUAUCUGGAGGAACAUCAGUGGCGAAGGCGACUCCCUGGCCAAAGACUGACGCUCAUGUGCGAAAGUGUGGGUAGCGAACAGGAUUAGAUACCCUGGUAGUCCACACCGUAAACGCUGUCUACUAGCUGUGUGUGCCUUUAAGGCGUGCGUAGCGAAGCUAACGCGCUAAGUAGACCGCCUGGGGAGUACGGCCGCAAGGUUAAAACUCAAAUGAAUUGACGGAAAGGGCGAAUUCGCCCUU